ACAACUUUCAGCAACGGAUCUCUUGGCUCUCGCAUCGAUGAAGAACGCAGCGAAAUGCGAUAAGHAAUGHGAAUUGCAGAAUUCAGUGAAUCAUCGAAUCUUUGAACGCACCUUGCGCUCCUUGGUAUUCCGAGGAGCAUGCCUGHUUGAGHGHCAUGAA
rnacentral:rRNA from 3 species